rnacentral:rRNA from 1 species
GAUGAACGCUGGCGGCGUGCCUAAUACAUGCAAGUCGAGCGAACAGACGAGGAGCUUGCUCCUCUGACGUUAGCGGCGGACGGGUGAGUAACACGUGGAUAACCUACCUAUAAGACUGGGAUAACUUCGGGAAACCGGAGCUAAUACCGGAUAAUAUAUUGAACCGCAUGGUUCAAUAGUGAAAGACGGUUUUGCUGUCACUUAUAGAUGGAUCCGCGCCGCAUUAGCUAGUUGGUAAGGUAACGGCUUACCAAGGCAACGAUUCGUAGCCGACCUGAGAGGGUGAUCGGCCACACUGGAACUGAGACACGGUCCAGACUCCUACGGGAGGCAGCAGUGGGGAAUCUUCCGCAAUGGGCGAAAGCCUGACGGAGCAACGCCGCGUGAGUGAUGAAGGUCUUCGGAUCGUAAAACUCUGUUAUUAGGGAAGAACAAAUGUGUAAGUAACUAUGCACGUCUUGACGGUACCUAAUCAGAAAGCCACGGCUAACUACGUG